ACGACAUCGUCGGGCUGAUCAGAGAGCUGGUGAUUCCGACGCUGAUGGACCCGAACCUCUAAUUCUUCCUCAUCCUCGGACUUGGCUAAUUCUUCCACCUAGAGAUCCGUCUGACCCAUUGGAAUUAAUUCCGCGACUACAAAACCCUAUACCGCGCGGUGUUGACCCGAGAGACUACUAUUUUGGUCCUGGUCUGGGAGAACUGAUUGACCAAUUGACGGAAAAUGACAGCCAGGGGCACCGCCAGCGCCGGAGAGAACUAUCCAUGCGAUUCCGAGUGUGAAAAUCUCGGAGAGCCAUCUGAAGGAGAACCCAUACUGCCCGGUUGCCAGAAGAAUUUGAAGUGGGUGGAGAUGCAAGGGAAUUGCCCUGCAAGCACAUAUACCAUUCGGAUUGCAUUGUUCCUUGGCUAAGGCUUCACAAUUCUUGCCCUGUUUGUCGGCUUGAGGUGCCGGUGUCCACCGACUCUGUUGAGCCCAGUGACGGAGGAGGCAGGAUACGAAGGUGCCUGAGAUGGUUUCAGAUUCAACUGGCUUCUCUGUUGCCUUUUCAGGAGGCGUCGACGGAUUCGUCCAGAAGAAGAGAAUGACAUGAUUGCUUCCGCAAGGGCUGCUAGUCCAGGGAGGAUCCCAUGCUGUAUCCUUUAGUUCACCUCUGAUACUGAUUUGCAUGGGCUUGCACUUGAACUUCACACUCUGCCUCUCCAUCUGAAGACAGGGGUCCCAACUUCAAUACAAUUAGAUAUUCGCUUGCAGUUCCCAGAGAAGAUGCAAAUACAGAAAGCUUAAUUUAGGCCAAAGAAAACGGACAACCCAAAAUGGAAUUCAGAAACAUUUGUUUCAACAUCUAGAGCAAGAGUAUCUAAUAUAUGUACAGGGACAGGACAUGUUUUAUAAUCUCGCGUUUAUGGUGAAGAAGCGUAGUUAUGUACAUAAAUUUAUCCCUGGUCAAUUUCAUUCAAUCUUCGGGAAGCCAUUUAUUGGGCUUCUGCAUAACGGUGAACGUGUAGGUGUAGUCACAAGCAACCCAUGAGUGACAAAAGCGAAAAAAUGAUAAUACAAUGGUUGCGAGCUGUUGCUUUUGAGCAACAAGACAGAAUAGUUUGCGUAAA